AGCUCUCUUAAGGGUAUAUAUGUAUGACUUGCCUCCUGAUUUUCAUUUUGGGUUAUUGGCUUGGAAGGGAAAAGCAAAUCAAACAUGGCCAAAUGUUGAUGACCUUAAUCAUAUCCCACUAUACCCAGGUGGGUUGAACCUACAGCACAGUAUAGAAUACUGGCUGACCCUUGAUCUUCUAGCAUCAAGCACACCCAAGGUGGUCGGACGUGGCGUGCGGGGC
rnacentral:misc_RNA from 1 species